rnacentral:tRNA from 1 species
GAGGUUUAAGUCCUUCUUUUCUGA